UCCCCUGUAGCUCAGUUGGUAGAGCGAGUGGCUGUUAACCACUAAGUCGUAGGUUCGAGUCCUACCGGGGGAGC
rnacentral:tRNA from 1 species